rnacentral:rRNA from 1 species
AUUGAACGCUGGCGGCAUGCCUUACACAUGCAAGUCGAACGGUAACAGGUCUUCGGAUGCUGACGAGUGGCGAACGGGUGAGUAAUACAUCGGAACGUGCCUAGUAGUGGGGGAUAACUAAUCGAAAGAGUGGCUAAUACCGCAUGAGAUCUACGGAUGAAAGCAGGGGAUCGCAAGCCCUUGUGCUACUAGAGCGGCCGAUGGCAGAUUAGGUAGUUGGUGGGAGAAAAGCUUACCAAGCCGACGAGCUGUAGCUGGUUCGGGAGGACGAUCAGCCACACUGGGACUGAGACACGGCCCAGACUCCUACGGGAGGCAGCAGUGGGGAAUUUUGGACAAUGGGCGCAGGCCUGAUCCAGCAAUGCCGCGUGCAGUAUGAAGGCCUUCGGGUUGUAAACUGCUUUUGUACGGAACGAAAAGCCCUGGGUUAAUACCCUGGGGUCAUGACGGUACCGUAAGAAUAAGCACCGGCUAACUACGUGCCAGCCGCCGCAGUAAAAC